UACCAGCAUCCCGAGUGGUCGGGACGAUUAUUGGGCCUAAAGCAUCCGUAGCCGGUUUUACAAGUCCCCCGUUAAAUCCAGCUGCUUAACAGAUGGGCUGCGGAGGAUACUAUAAGACUAGGAGGCAGGAGAGGCAAGCGGUACUCAGUGGGUAGGGGUAAAAUCCGUUGAUCCAUUGAAGACCACCAGUGGCGAAGGCGGCUUGCCAGAAUGCGCUCGACGGUGAGGGAUGAAAGCUGGGGGAGCAAACCGG
rnacentral:rRNA from 1 species